GACGAACGCUGGCGGCGUGCUUAACACAUGCAAGUCGAACGGAAAGGCCCUGCUUUUGUGGGGUUCUCGAGUGGCGAACGGGUGAGUAACACGCGUGUAUCCUGUCCCUGACUUUGGGAUAACUUUACGAAACUGGGGCUAAUACCGCAUAUGAGCUCCUGCUGCACGGUGGGGGUUGGAAAGUUUCGGCGGUUGUGGCUGGACUCGCGGCUUAUCAGCUUGUUGGUGGGGUAGUGGCUUACCAAGGCUUUGACGGGUAGCCGGCAUGGGAGGGUGAACGGCGACAUUGGGACUGAGGGACGGCCCAGAAGGGUACGGGAGGCAGUAGGGGGGAAUAUGGCAGAGUGGGCGGAAGCCUGAUGCAGAAGCGCCGGGUGCGGGAUGACGGGCUUCGGGGUAUAAACCGCUGUCGAAGGAGACGUAGAGGGAGUGACGGUAAUGGAUAAAGAAGCACCGGCUAACUACGUG
rnacentral:rRNA from 1 species